UACAGAGGUCUCAAGCGUUGUUCGGAUUCAUUGGGCGUAAAGGGUGCGUAGGUGGCGUGGUAAGUCGGGUGUGAAAUCUCGGAGCUUAACUCCGAAACUGCAUUCGAUACUGCUGUGCUUGAGGACUGGAGAGGAGACUGGAAUUUACGGUGUAGCAGUGAAAUGCGUAGAGAUCGUAAGGAAGACCAGUGGCGAAGGCGGGUCUCUGGACAGUUCCUGACACUGAGGCACGAAGGCCAGGGGAGCAAACGGG
rnacentral:rRNA from 1 species